CGUGUAAUUAAUGCUACUUAUUUGGACAUUUAAAAAUGGUCAAAAUGGCAAGUUUUAUCUUAUGUAUGUUACCAUAAAAAUUAUUUCUUCUCUUAAAUUGCAUGACAGAUUAUUUAGAAAAGCCUUUAAAGUAGCAUGCUAUAUAACAUUUUAACUUUUUUUAAAAGUACUCAUAAUUUUAAGACUAAGAUCAAAUAAAUAAAGGGGAGUUAAAAUUAUACUUUCCCACCAUUACUUUAAUCCUGGAGCCCAUUUGAGAGCAGAGGGGUCAAUAUUAUAAUUGCUGAUCAUUCCACAAAGUUUUAUCUAUUUUUCAAACAUUCUUUCCUAAGGACUUCAAACCCACAAAAGUACAAUGUAAUUUUAUGAUAAACUGAAAAUUAAGGGGAAAAUUAUUUACCAAACCAUAAAUUAAAGAGCUUGGUCUAGCAUGACCCAGAUGCUUCCACAUUUACUCCGCCUCAGCUGGGGAAAGAGGGCGUAACCAGAGCCAGGCUAAGGCAGCCACCCCAAGGAGCUUGUUCCAGUAACCAAAUCAGACAGAGUGUACCAGAUAGGAAUGGGAGAGCUUAAAUGCCUCGAGGGCAUUUAAGAAAAAGUCAGCAAAUAUGGCCCAGGAUAAUAUGCGCUCCUGGAACUUGUACAUUAUUUCUGAAUUUGUCACCUGUUAACCCUCGUUCCUUCCCUACAGCUGGGAAAAGCUGGAGGGUUUAAAUGAGAAAACAGAUGUAAAGCACCUGCUAUGUAUCAGGUCCCGGGCACAGCGCUACCUUCAAAAGCACGGUCUUUUCAUCUCCACCUGCGGUCUGGCACACAGGGGUAGUGGUAAUGGAAGAACAAGAAAAAAAAUGGAAGAGGCAUGCUUGGUGGAUGAUGACCAAAAAAAAAAAAAACCACACAAAAAAACAAGUGAAGGUGGAAUAAUCCUUGGGUAUUUCCAGACUGAAUGGCCCUUAGAUGUGGCCUAAGGCAGUAACCACCAGGCUUGGCUGACCAAUCUGGGAGCUCCCAGAAACUUGCCCCGACCCUCAUAACCCAAGGGACCUAAACUCAUCUCAGGCUACUGUGAGGGUUAAUAUAAAUCAGGAAAAAAAUUAAAAUUAAAUCCACACACACACUUGCAAAUCCUUUCUCUGCUCCUUUGAGAGGUAAGUAAAUCUUAAAAGUUAAAUAAGGCUGUGGCCAGGUUCACAACCCAGGAAUGUCUUUCUCAAGGAUCUGGGAGCAAUUACACCAAAGUGUAAACGUCAUGGAAGGUAGCACCAUUUCCAUGGGAGCUUAACUUGGCCAUUGGGCUCCAAGUUCUAACUAUCUACCAGUCAGAGAUAUGAGAAGUUUUAUAUGGAGUCAAUCAGCAAACACAAAGACCACUCCAAUUUCAAGUGAAUUUGAUGACUGACAUGUGACAAAUGGGUGCUGGCAGAUGCUUACUUUUAUCUUGAGGAUGUGUGUGUAAUGGGUUGUAUCUGCUUGGGUGAGAUCUCUUUCUGCCUUUGCCAUCUCUUUACCAAAUGGCCUGGGAUGUACCCCAUUUGGACUUAAUGCUUAUUUAAUAAUAAAAUGGGUUUUCUGGCUCGUCUGUGGUGGAGAGCUUUCCUGGGUGGGGAGGUUGUGUUUUUCAUUUUAUUUUCCCAACACAACCUGCUCCAAAUUCAGACUUAUCCCGAUCCCUUGCUGGAGUCUUGAGCCCUGACGUCUGCUUGGCCCGGCCCAUUUUGACUUUCGGGUACUCCCAGGAUUUCUUUCCACUUUUGUUCACCUUUGGUCAAACCUAGACAAAAUGUCCAGGUCAUCCCUGCCCCACCUGGUGCCAAUUCCUUGGCCUUUAUCUUGAGGCACAGACCCACUCUUCUACCCCUGGUACCUGUGAAGACAGAGCCCCGACCUGAGGUCAGAUUAUUACGGAAAACGGCGCAGCCGAGGAGGAAGUUAUAGCCUAGCAUGUCUACUCCUUUAUUUUUAUUUUACCUUCACUCAUUCUUGAUCAUUUCUUACAAAUUUUAACAAAAAGCGUGAAGAAAAGCUGAAAAAGCCAAUGGAGAC
ensembl:lincRNA